rnacentral:lncRNA from 1 species
CACACUUGGAAGGGGAAGACUCGGGCUGUUCUCAGUGGUGUGUCUAAGGUUUUAGAUGUCCUCCUUUUUUCGCAGGGAGGCCGUUAAAUCGUGCUGCUGGGAACCAUACGGGCAGAUACUUAACUUUAAAAAAAAGCUAUCACAGCAAGGCUUUUUCAUCAAGAGGAAAAGGACUUCUGAGAUCUUGCCCUAGAGCGGCUUUUCUGUACUAUGCUUGAGUGCAGCAAGCAUUUAUUAGUCCAAUCCAAUCUCUGUGGAGAAGAUUGGAUUGCCGUGAUCAUCAAAUUAAAUCAACAAUUCCCACAAUGGGAACAAAAAAAUUGUACGUGUGCUGCAUUUUGAGAUCCUCAACAAUUUGCAAGAGAAUGUGGAAGUGCAGAGUAAGAUAAUGAUCCAUUUCUGUGGGGGACCAAGGCCACAGGAGGAAGAAGCAGCUUCGGUAGGUCGUCCCUGCAUGUGUGGUUUCCUC